rnacentral:rRNA from 1 species
UACAGAGGUGGCAAGCGUUGUCCGGAAUUACUGGGCGUAAAGGGCGCGUAGGCGGUCUUGUAAGUCUUGUGUGAAAUCCCUCGGCUUAACUGAGGAACUGCACGGGAUACUGCGAGACUUGAGUUCGGGAGAGGGAAGCGGAAUUCCGGGUGUAGCGGUGAAAUGCGUAGAUAUCCGGAGGAACACCGGUGGCGAAGGCGGCUUCCUGGACCGAUUACUGACGCUGAGGCGCGAAAGCUAGGGGAGCAAACGGG